rnacentral:rRNA from 1 species
UACACACCGCCCGUCAAACCACGAAAGUUGUAUUAGCCAGAAGCAAAUGAGCCAACCGUAAGGAAGCAGUUUGCCAAGGCUUGUGCGAUGAUUGGGGUU